ACACUACUCCCUCCGUUCCAAAUUACUUGUGUCAAAAGUGGAUAAAAAUGGAUGUAUCAACAACUAAAAUACGUCCAUUUCUGUGACAAGUAAUUCCGAACGGAGGGAGUACAAU
rfam:Triticum aestivum genome assembly, contig: Triticum_aestivum_CS42_TGACv1_scaffold_080172_1DS